AUGAACGCUGACAGAAUGCUUAACCCAUGCAAGUCAACUUGAAUUUGGGUUUUUAACUUAGGUUUGGGUGGCGGACGGGUGAGUAACGCGUAAAGAACUUGCCUCACAGCUAGGGACAACAUUUGGAAACGAAUGCUAAUACCUAAUAUUAUGAUAAUAGGGCAUCCUAUAAUUAUGAAAGCUAUAAGCGCUGUGAGAGAGCUUUGCGUCCCAUUAGCUAGUUGGAGAGGUAACGGCUCACCAAGGCGAUGAUGGGUAGCCGGCCUGAGAGGGUGAUCGGCCACAAGGGGACUGAGACACGGCCCUUACUCCUACGGGAGGCAGCAGUGGGGAAUAUUGGACAAUGGACCAAGAGUCUGAUCCAGCAAUUCUGUGUGCACGAUGAAGUUUUUCGGAAUGUAAAGUGCUUUCAGUUGGGAAGAAAGAAAUGACGGUACCAACAGAAGAAGUGACGGCUAAAUACGUG
rnacentral:rRNA from 1 species